ACUUAACAAAACACAAAAACAAUGCAAUCGACGUCGAGCGAACGUAGGAAUCUCCUGUUCGGAGAAAAGGUGAAUAAAAUGCGCGGUAGGUGACGGUCAAGAAAGUCUGGAAUUGGAACAAGUGGAUGAGUAUCUAAAAAGAACUAAGGAGUCGAUGCAAUGAAAAUGUGAGGAAAUGUGAUAGAAAACGCAGAUUUGAAGCAAAAGAUGUGCAUCUGGAAAGGAAGGUCUGCAUAAGGAUAUAUCUGUAUCUACUUUUCUGCCAGCAUUACAAUAUUUUUCCUUUUUAUAUGUUGACAAACUCUUUAAAUCUUAACAUGAGUUCAGCCAGGCAAACAAUAGAAAAACUGAAUGAUGACGGGACACGAAAUAUCCGAGGUUAUCGACCUGCCUG